rnacentral:tRNA from 1 species
GCCCUGGUGGCGGAAUAGGUAGACGCGCUGGACUUAAAAUCCAGUGAUCAUUGCGAUCGUGCCGGUUCGACCCCGGCCCGGGGUA